GAGUUUGAUCCUGGCUCAGAACGAACGCUGGCGGCAGGCCUAACACAUGCAAGUCGAGCGAACCUUCGGGUUAGCGGCGGACGGGUUAGUAACGCGUGGGAACGUGCCUCUCUCUACGGAAUAGUCCCGGGAAACUGGGUUUAAUACCGUAUACGCCCUUUGGGGGAAAGAUUUAUCGGAGAGAGAUCGGCCCGCGUUGGAUUAGGUAGUUGGUGGGGUAAUGGCCUACCAAGCCGACGAUCCAUAGCUGGUUUGAGAGGAUGAUCAGCAACACUGGGACUGAGACACGGCCCAGACUCCUACGGGAGGCAGCAGUGGGGAAUCUUAGACAAUGGGGGAAACCCUGAUCUAGCCAUGCCGCGUGGACGAUGAAGGCCUUAGGGUUGUAAAGUCCUUUCGCUGGGGAAGAUAAUGACGGUACCCAGUAAAGAAGCCCCGGCUAACUCCGUGCCAGCAGCCGCGGU
rnacentral:rRNA from 1 species